rnacentral:rRNA from 1 species
AGCAGCCGCGGUAAUUCCAGCUCCAAUAGCGUAUAUUAAAGUUAUUGCAGUUAAAAAGCUCGUAGUUGAAUUUCGGGAUCAAUAUUUCGGUCAUGCCGUUGGUAUGCACUGUUAUCAUUGAUUUCUCACCUUCUAAAGAACCGUAAUGCCAUUAAUUUGGUGUUACGGGGAAUUAGGACUGUUACCUUGAAAAAUUAGAGUGUUUAAAGCAGGCUCACGCUUGAAUACAUUAGCAUGGAAUAAUGAAAUAGGACAUCCGAUUCUAUUUUGUUGGUUUCUAGGAUCGAUGUAAUGAUUAAUAGGGAUAGUUGGGGGCAUUAGUAUUCAAUUGUCAGAGGUGAAAUUCUUGGAUUUAUUGAAGACUAACUACUGCGAAAGCGUUUGCCAAGGAUGUUUUCAUUAAUCAAGAACGAAAGUUAGGGGAUCGAAGACGAUCAGAUACCGUCGUAGUCUUAACCAUAAACUAUGCCGACUAGGGAUCGGAUGAUGUUAAUUUUUAAUGUACUCA